GGACGAACGCUGGCGGCGUGCUUAACACAUGCAAGUCGAACGGAAAGGCCCUGCUUUUGUGGGGUGCUCGAGUGGCGAACGGGUGAGUAACACGUGAGUAACCUGCCCUUGACUUUGGGAUAACUUCAGGAAACUGGGGCUAAUACCGGAUAGGAGCUCCUGCUGCAUGGUGGGGGUUGGAAAGUUUCGGCGGUUGGGGAUGGACUCGCGGCUUAUCAGCUUGUUGGUGGGGUAGUGGCUUACCAAGGCUUUGACGGGUAGCCGGCCUGAGAGGGUGACCGGCCACAUUGGGACUGAGAUACGCCCCAGACUCCUACGGGAGGCAGCAGUGGGGAAUAUUGCACAAUGGGCGGAAGCCUGAUGCAGCAACGCCGCGUGCGGGAUGACGGCCUUCGGGUUGUAAACCGCUUUCGCCUGUGACGAAGCGUGAGUGACGGUAAUGGGUAAAGAAGCACCGGCUAACUACGUG
rnacentral:rRNA from 1 species